CACCACCUCCACCGCCGCCUCCAGCCUCCUCGCGACCAAGAAAAACCUCUCCUCCCUCUCCCUCACCUCCGCCAACAAUCUCCCCGCUUUCUCGCCCCUCCUCACCUCCUCACGCAGACAACGUUUCAUAGUCCUUUCCGCAAGCCUAAACUCAAAGCCAACAGUCCUAGUUGCAGAAAAACUAGGAGAAGCGGGUAUAAAUCUCUUGAAAGACUUUGCAAACGUUGACUGUUCUUACAAUCUAAGCCCAGAUG
rnacentral:lncRNA from 1 species